rnacentral:snoRNA from 1 species
CCCCUCACGGGGUCACACCUGGAGAGUUUCCAGUACUCUACUAGUCUCGGCUAUGGGAGGGAGCAUCAAGCAAAGGCCUACCCAUUCCAUUCCUAGCUUGGACAGUGGCUGGUGAGUGGAAGGCAAUCUGCUGCAAGU